GUUGUUACCACUGUUUGCAUGUGUGAGAAGGCAUUGAAUAAGGGCAUUAUUUGGAAGGCAUGCUGGUCCUUGUAGUGCUAAUGGGAGAUCUUAGGGAUGGCUCUCAGGGGGGAUGUACCAGCAGUCCGGAUGCUGGCGGUCAUGUGACCAACUCCAGAAUCCCGACACCACUCGGAAUCCCAGCGCCAGAACACCAACUGCCAACAUCCCGAAGGGAUGAACAAUGAUGGAGACACUUUCAAGUACCUAAGAGGAAAAUUUCCACUUCUGAAUGAUGCUAAAGAUAAGGAAGGAAUAAUUUUUGGUCUACAAAUGUGUCAAUUUGUUAAGGAUGAAAACUUCACCCAAGAC